ACAGAUGCUAAUACCGCAUAACAACUUGGACCGCAUGGUCCGAGCUUGAAAGAUGGCUUCGGCUAUCACUUUUGGAUGGUCCCGCGGCGUAUUAGCUAGAUGGUGGGGUAACGGCUCACCAUGGCAAUGAUACGUAGCCGACCUGAGAGGGUAAUCGGCCACAUUGGGACUGAGACACGGCCCAAACUCCUACGGGAGGCAGCAGUAGGGAAUCUUCCACAAUGGACGAAAGUCUGAUGGAGCAACGCCGCGUGAGUGAAGAAGGGUUUCGGCUCGUAAAACUCUGUUGUUAAAGAAGAACAUAUCUGAGAGUAACUGUUCAGGUAUUGACGGUAUUUAACCAGAAAGCCACGGCUAACUACGUGCCAGCAGCCGCGGUAAUACGUAGGUGGCAAGCGUUGUCCGGAUUUAUUGGGCGUAAAGCGAGCGCAGGCGGUUUUUUAAGUCUGAUGUGAAAGCCUUCGGCUCAACCGAAGAAGUGCAUCGGAAACUGGGAAACUUGAGUGCAGAAGAGGACAGUGGAACUCCAUGUGUAGCGGUGAAAUGCGUAGAUAUAUGGAAGAACACCAGUGGCGAAGGCGGCUGUCUGGUCUGUAACUGACGCUGAGGCUCGAAAGUAUGGGUAGCAAACAGGAUUAGAUACCCUGGUAGUCCAUACCGUAAACGAUGAAUGCUAAGUGUUGGAGGGUUUCCGCCCUUCAGUGCUGCAGCUAACGCAUUAAGCAUUCCGCCUGGGGAGUACGGCCGCAAGGCUGAAACUCAAAGGAAUUGACGGGGGCCCGCACAAGCGGUGGAGCAUGUGGUUUAAUUCGAAGCUACGCGAAGAACCUUACCAGGUCUUGACAUACUAUGCAAAUCUAAGAGAUUAGACGUUCCCUUCGGGGACAUGGAUACAGGUGGUGCAUGGUUGUCGUCAGCUCGUGUCGUGAGAUGUUGGGUUAAGUCCCGCAACGAGCGCAACCCUUAUUAUCAGUUGCCAGCAUUAAGUUGGGCACUCUGGUGAGACUGCCGGUGACAAACCGGAGGAAGGUGGGGAUGACGUCAAAUCAUCAUGCCCCUUAUGACCUGGGCUACACACGUGCUACAAUGGAUGGUACAACGAGUUGCGAACUCGCGAGAGUAAGCUAAUCUCUUAAAGCCAUUCUCAGUUCGGAUUGUAGGCUGCAACUCGCCUACAUGAAGUCGGAAUCGCUAGUAAUCGCGGAUCAGCAUGCCGCGGUGAAUACGUUCCCGGGCCUUGUACACACCGCCCGUCACACCAUG
rnacentral:rRNA from 1 species